rnacentral:rRNA from 1 species
AGACCCGAAACCCGGUGAUCUAGCCAUGGGCAGGUUGAAGGUUGGGUAACACUAACUGGAGGACCGAACCGACUAAUGUUGAAAAAUUAGCGGAUGACCUGUGGCUGGGGGUGAAAGGCCAAUCAAACCGGGAGAUAGCUGGUUCUCCCCGAAAGCUAUUUAGGUAGCGCCUCGUGAAUUCAUCUCCGGGGGUAGAGCACUGUUUCGGCUAGGGGGCCAUCCCGGCUUACCAACCCGAUGCAAACUGCGAAUACCGGAGAAUGUUAUCACGGGAGACACACGGCGGGUGCUAACGUCCGUCGUGAAGAGGGAAACAACCCAGACCGCCAGCUAAGGUCCCAAAGUCAUGGUUAAGUGGGAAACGAUGUGGGAAGGCCCAGACAGCCAGGAUGUUGGCUUAGAAGCAGCCAUCAUUUAAAGAAAGCGUAAUAGCUCACU